UCUCUCAAAAUUCUGUAGGAUCUAAUCUUGCUCAAUUUGGGGUCCUGUAGCUUGCCUUUUAGGGGUCCUCACACCAAAAUAUCCAGAAUUUAGAUUGGUUGACUAGAUGGGAGAGAUUAACUGCUUGAUUUAUUUUCUGCAUCUCUAAUUUCUUUUCUGGCUGAUGAUGCCAAAAAGGAUAAUGUGUGGGGUCUAUUGAUAUCUUGAUUUGGUUAUUCUGCUUUGAGGUGGACUCUGAUUUUGAUGCAAGACCUGAUAACUCUGGAUGACAAACCCUGCUGAAUCGGACUCAACCAAUUUCACUUAAUUUGACCUUUAAAAUAUGGUUAAGCCCAAUUAGGUGUGACCUGGCUCAAUUACCUGCAAUUUACAUAAAACAUAUCAGGUUCUUACAUUUAUUUAGUUAAUUAUUAUAUCAAUUUCAUCAAAAUCAUUAAAACUAAUAAUAAUAAUUACUAUAAAAAUACAAUACAUCAAU
rnacentral:lncRNA from 1 species